rnacentral:misc_RNA from 1 species
AUAAAUAUUUUUAUAUUUUAAUAAUAUUAUCAAAAUCUAAAAAACAACGAACUCUUUUAAAAAGGGAGAAAGUCAUUUUUCUUAAAAAUAGUUUAAAUUUCUUUUUAAUCAAAAAUAAAAAUUUUCGUUGAUCUGAGCUCUAAACAUUAAAAAAUAUAAAAAAUAUUUUAAAAAAAAAUAUUUUUUACGAAAUAAAUGAAACCUUAAAUAAGAAUAUAUCAUGUGAAAAAAAAAAUUGUAGGCACCUUGGAUAAAAUGAUACCUUUGUUCUCUAUUAGUUGGGCAAUUCUCACAUUGUUAUAUUCACCUUUUGAAUCAUAUAAAAAUUAUAAUUAUAAAAUAAUUUGACAUUAAUAAAUUUAAGCUAAAAGGGUUACUAAGUCACCUGACAUUAAUUAUUAAAUUAAUUUCUCUUAAUAAUAUUUAUUAAAUGUAGUUAAAAAUAAGAAUAAUAAUAAAAAAUUAAUUAUCAAAAUGAUGUAAAAAAUAAAAUAAU